rnacentral:rRNA from 1 species
CACGUAGGGGGCGAGCGUUUGUCCGGAUUUAUUGGGCGUAAAGAGCUCGUAGGCGGCUCAGUAAGUCAGGUGUGAAAACUCCAGGCUCAACCUGGAGACGCCACCUGAUACUGCUGUGGCUAGAGUCCGGUAGGGGAGCAUGGAAUUCCUGGUGUAGCGGUGAAAUGCGCAGAUAUCAGGAGGAACACCAGUGGCGAAGGCGGUGCUCUGGGCCGGAACUGACGCUGAGGAGCGAAAGCGUGGGGAGCAAACAGG